GAUGAACGCUGGCGGCGUGCCUAAUACAUGCGAGUCGAGCGAACAGACGAGGAGCUUGCUCCUCUGACGUUAGCGGCGGACGGGUGAGUAACACGUGGAUAACCUACCUAUAAGACUGGGAUAACUUCGGGAAACCGGAGCUAAUACCGGAUAAUAUAUUGAACCGCAUGGUUCAAUAGUGAAAGACGGUUUUGCUGUCACUUAUAGAUGGAUCCGCGCCGCAUUAGCUAGUUGGUAAGGUAACGGCUUACCAAGGCAACGAUGCGUAGCCGACCUGAGAGGGUGAUCGGCCACACUAGAACUGAGACACGGUCCAGACUCCUACGGGAGGCAGCAGUAGGGAAUCUUCCGCAAUUGGCGAAAGCCUGACGGAGCAACGCCGCGUGAGUGAUGAAGGUCUUCGGAUCGUAAAACUCUGUUAUUAGGGAAGAACAAAUGUGUAAGUAACUAUGCACGUCUUGACGGUACCUAAUCAGAAAGCCACGGCUAACUACGUG
rnacentral:rRNA from 1 species